GCAUGGAACCAUGCUGUCACGGAUUCACGGAUCUGAAUUCUAGUAUUAAUGUCACCUUUAAGUGAAUUUAGGCAUCUAUUUGCUGUUUGUUUUUAUUUUGUACUAUUUUUUUUUUUUUUGUAUGUAUAUUUUUUAGCACCUGGUUGGAAAGGAGUACAAGUUUAUUUCUGUGUCACUAGGUGGUGCAUCUGGUUUUACUCAGUUGAUGCUGAUAUCUGCUGAUGACAGCUGUCUUAAAUCUGUCAAUCAUCUUUUCAAUCAUUUAUAGAAGUUUGUCUAUGGUCCCUUACCGCACCCUCCACAAUAUUACCCACUGAAGAGACAUUUUCCAACUUAAAUCAAUGUUUAAAUGCAGAUCUGGAACGAUUUCACCAUGACGCCAUCUGACCAUCAUAAAUACGGGACAAAUUGCAUCACAUAUUUAUUCAAUACCGGAUGCAUCAUUUUAUCUUUAAAUAUGGGACGAUCCCUUGUUUUACAGGACGGUUGGCAACCCUAAGUGGAGGUGUGCUAAUAAAUCCAUGCUUCAGUUCAACUCACUUGUGGAAGAGUUUAUCUGUCUGUCUAGUGGAUGAAGGGCGACUCUUUUACGAGGGCCGAAUAACUUUCAGCUACGACUGAAGAGGUUCAAAUUUACAGGCCAAUAAAUGCACAGAAUUUAUACAAUGCAAUGUGCUGCUUUCUGAAAAACUGUUUUCACAAGAAUAAAAUAAUAACAUUCACAUUUACAGGAGAAACAUACACACAAAUGACCUUUGACCCCAAUCCUAAGUAAUGCAAAUUUUUCCAGUUCUGUCUGUGACUGAAUCAAACCGGUCUCACUGUCAUCUUACUGUAGAUCUCACUUUACCCUAAAGCUGUUUUCACAUGUUUAUACUUGAGAUAAUCCAGUCUGUUCUCAUUUCUCCUCAGUGUUUUUAUACUGUAGUGUUGUGCAGCAUAUCAGAAAUAUCUAUCAGUGUAUUUUAUUAAAGCAUUGAA